rnacentral:rRNA from 1 species
UGUGACCUCAAAUCAGGUAGGACUACCCGCUGAACUUAAGCAUAUCAAUAAGCGGAGGAAAAGAAACUAACAAGGAUUCCCCUAGUAACUGCGAGUGAAGCGGGAAAAGCUCAAAUUUAGAAUCUGGCGGUCUUUUGGUCGUCCGAGUUGUAAUCUAGAGAAGUGCUAUCCGCGCUGGACCAUGUACAAGUCUCCUGGAAUGGAGCAUCAUAGAGGGUGAGAAUCCCGUCUU